rnacentral:pre_miRNA from 1 species
AAUAGAACUGCUGGGUCAUAUGGUAGUUCUAUUUUUAGUUUGAGGAACCACCACACUGUUUUCCACAAGGGUUGUACCAUUUUGCAUUCCCACCAGCAGU